AAGUCGUAACAAGGUUUCCGUAGGUGAACCUGCGGAAGGAUCAUUAAAAAAUCUGGCUGCAAAGCCUCUAUUUUGUGCAACGUACAUUUUUAACAUGUUAUAGAGAUCAGAGGAUACAUUUAAUGAAAACAACUUUCAACAGUGGAUCUCUCGGCUCUU
rnacentral:misc_RNA from 1 species